rnacentral:rRNA from 1 species
CGUGAGGGAAAGGUGAAAAGAACUGAGGUGAUCAGAGUGAAAUAGAACCUGAAACCAUUUGCUUACAAUCAUUCAGAGCCCUAUGUAGCAAUACAGGGUGAUGGACUGCCUUUUGCAUAAUGAGCCUGCGAGUUGUGGUGUCUGGCAAGGUUAAGCAAACGCGAAGCCGUAGCGAAAGCGAGUCUGAAUAGGGCGCUUAGUCAGAUGCUGCAGACCCGAAACGAAGUGAUCUAUCCAUGAGCAAGUUGAAGCUAGUGUAAGAACUAGUGGAGGACUGAACCCAUAGGCGUUGAAAAGCCCCGGGAUGACUUGUGGAUAGGGGUGAAAGGCCAAUCAAACUUCGUGAUAGCUGGUUCUCUCCGAAAUAUAUUUAGGUAUAGCGUUGUGUCGUAAUAUAAGGGGGUAGAGCACUGAAUGGGCUAGGGCAUACACCAAUGUACCAAACCCUAUCAAACUCCGAAUACCUUAUAUGUAAUCACAGCAGUCAGGCGGCGAGUGAUAAAAUCCGUCGUCAAGAGGGAAACAACCCAGACUACCAGCUAAGGUCCCUAAAUCUUACUUAAGUGGAAAACGAUGUGAAGUUACUUAAACAACCAGGAGGUUGGCUUAGAAGCAGCCAUCCUUUAAAGAAAGCGUAAUAGCUCACUGGUCUAGUGAUUUUGCGCGGAAAAUAUAACGGGGCUAAAGU